AAGGAAGUGUGCCCGAAAGCCAGGGACUACUUUGAUAGAGUAGAUCACAGAGGUUAAAACCCUCUCAUUUCC
rnacentral:tRNA from 1 species